UCGAAGUCCUCAAUUCCUCAUCGCGUGGUAGAAAAAAAAGCCUGCAUCUGCCGCCUGUCAGGCAUUCGAAGAUAGUUAAAAUAAGGACUCUCAAUGCCUAGUUUUUUCAUUUGAAUUCAGUUUCUCUUCGAUAGUGCUUUCAGGAUGUCUGUGGAUAACUGGGUUGGCAUUUUGACAAGUCUAUGCUAUUGGCUCGUCCUUCAGUCCGUGAGGCUACAUUCUGGUCUGGUGAAUGAUUCAUGAUGGGUUGAUCCUCCAUUGCACGAGCAGUUGCAUGUGCCACCUGAUCAGUAAUUCAUGGUGUUGGCUUGAUGGUGUUUUAAGGGGACUGGUUUGGAAACACGUUGGUUCCCUUCACUGCCAAUCAGACUGGUGUCAUGCUGUCUAUUGAAAGCUGUGCUUUCUAUAUAUUAAAGGUAGGCUGAAAGAGGUACCUGGUAAUAAAGCUCUGGUUUUUUAUCAGGUUUGUGGUGAAUUGGUGAAGUUGCAGUAGACUACCAAUUGAGGCUGCAGGGAUAUGAAAUGCUGUGUUCAACCUAAUUCUGCAGGCUCUAAAGGUGCUCUUGUAUCAGCAAUUGAGGGUCGUUUUUAACGCGGCCCUAACAUGUUCGACGUCGUUUACUGUGGAAUUACGGGUGUUUUUGGUGUUGCCGGGUUUCCAGCUGGAAUUUUUCGUCCGUUUCUUCGCUGUUGUUGCCGUUAUACAGGGUUAGAUAUAUUGGCGUGGAAUUUUCGGAAUUGGUUGGUUUAAUCCAUUGGAUCAUUGAUUUAGCUGCCAUUCUUCGUUCUACUAAUGUCUAGAUUUCCCCUCGAUUUGUGCUUUGAUCCUUGGUAAAAUUUGCAGUUCUAUGCUUUGGGUUUGCCGUUGAAAGGUUCUGUCAGCAAUUGAUUGUCUAAUUGGGACAAUAUUGCCGAGGCGCUGACAUAUGCAAUGUCUUCUACUUUGUGAUUAUGGUAACUAAACCACAGUGACUUGCGGUAGUGGUGUGUUAUUCUGUAAUGAUGAAAACGAGUUACCGUUUGAUAAUCGUGAAAAUAUUAUUUUGGCUGGUGAUUUGGUGUGGCCGGUUACCCAGCUGAAAAUUUUUUUCGGCUCUUCGCUGGCGUUAUCUAUAUCCUAUGUUUAGGAUUGUUAGUGAAUUCCAAUGGAUGAUCCAGUUUUGUGGUAUCGUUGACGGUGCGGUAUUCUUGGGUUGAAACCUUGAAGCAUAAUGCGUUCUCCCUCCCAUUGAUCACGUUGCUUGAAGGCGCUUUCAUUUUAUAUUAUGACUGUCAAGGUUGUCAUCGGUAUAAUAUUUUAAAGUCUAGCCCACGUCAUUGAAACAAUAGUAUUUCAAAAAUAUUUAAUUCUCCUUGAAAAUCGAGUCUGGUUUAAAAAAAUAAAAUUAAUAGAAUUUUAUUACGGAAAACUAUCAUAUUUGACAAUUAAACCAUAGUAUUAUUGAGAUACAUUAUACCACAAGUAAGAAUAAAAAUUCGUUAUUUUUCUCAACAAAUUCAUCUUCCUUAAAUUGACUAGUAAGUAGAAAUAUAGCUGUUCUAGAAAUAUGUAUUAUCUACAUAACACUUUUCUUUUCAAUAGGAAAGGAUUUGAUCAUUCUUGAACUAUAUCUAUCAAAGAUGCAAUGCUCUAAUGACAAAGACGACAAAGCUCGUGUUAUCUCCUUGUUGGUCAAUUGAGGCAGUGUCUCCUCCUGCCUUGGUUGACGGCAGCUUUAGAAUGGGUUAUUUUGUUCAUCUAAAGUUGCAAAUUAUUGAAUUGUAUUGAGAAAUGUCAAUACAAAUUUAAAUAAUUAAUAAUCAA